rnacentral:rRNA from 1 species
AGCCUUAAGAAUAUAUUUAAGGUGAAGCCUGCCCUGUGCUAGUUUGUUAACGGCCGCAGUACCUUGACUGUGCUAAGGUAGCAUAAUCAGUUGGCUUUUAAUUGGAGUCGGGAAUGAAUGGACCAAUGGGGUGAAGCUGUCUCUCCUAUAUUAAUUUGAAUUUACUUAUUAGGUGAAAAUGCCUAAGUUAAGAAAAAAGACGAGAAGACCCUAGGAGUUUUUACUAAAAAUUACUUAUGUAAAUUUAUGUUUUUGUUGGGGCGACAAUGAAAUAUUUUAAACUUUCAUUACUAUAUUUGCCGACUAAGUAUGAUAAAUUAAACUACCCUAGGGAUAACAGCGUAAUUCUAUAUGAGCUUGCGACCUCGAUGUUGGACUAGGAAUUUGGUAGGCUAGCCGCCUAUUUUUAUUGUUCUGUUCGAACUAUUUUUCC